AUGUUAGAUUGGGGCGAUAGGUUUGAUUGGAUCGAGAGAAAACACCGUUCUAUGUCUUGAAAAUCAGACAUUAGUAGGUCGGAAAUGGUAGUCUGUCGGCAAAAAGAGCCAUGCGACCAUGAGAAGAUAAAGCAAGGAGAGCACAUACAUGUGGCUUGCUCUAGAAACCUUAGAAACAGGUCAGAAUGGCAUUCGACAAAUAAAUGCCCAAAACUUACUUA
rnacentral:lncRNA from 1 species